rnacentral:lncRNA from 1 species
AAAAAUUAUUUUUUCAUUUCAUCUCCAGAAUUUGAAGCCAAGGCAAAUGUUGUAAUGAAAAGGAAUGAAUCUAUAGAAAGAGGUUGGAAAAUAUCUGGCACAUGGCAAAGACUAAAACAAUAUAUAUAUAUUUUUUGUCUGUUUUGAGAUGGAGUCUCACUCUGUUGCCAGGCUGGAGUACAGUGGCGUGAUCUCGGCUCACUGCAACCUCUGCCUCCCAGGCUCAAGCAAUUCUCCUGCCUCAGCC